GACGUAGGGCGCGAGCGUUGUCCGGAUUUAUUGGGCGUAAAGAGCUCGUAGGCGGCUUGUCGCGUCGUCCGUGAAAACUUGGGGCUCAACCCCAAGCUUGCGGUCGAUACGGGCAGGCUAGAGUUCGGUAGGGGAGAUCGGAAUUCCUGGUGUAGCGGUGAAAUGCGCAGAUAUCAGGAGGAACACCGGUGGCGAAGGCGGAUCUCUGGGCCUUACCUGACGCUGAGGCGCGAAAGCUAGGGGAGCGAACAGG
rnacentral:rRNA from 1 species